rnacentral:tRNA from 1 species
GGGGAUUUAGCUCAGUGGUAGAGCGCUUGCCUAGCAAGCGCCAGGCCCUGGGUUCAGUCCUCA